AUUGAUCGCUGGCGGCAGGCCUAACACAUGCAAGUCGAACGAGUGGCGGACGGGUGAGUAAUGUCUGGGAAACUGCCCGAUGGAGGGGGAUAACUACUGGAAACGGUAGCUAAUACCGCAUACUAUCGGAUGAGCCCAGAUGGGAUUAGCUGGUAGGUGAGGUAACGGCUAACCUAGGCGACGAUCCCUAGCUGGGCUGAGAGGAUGACCAGCCAAACUGGAACGGAGACACGGUCAAGACUCCGACGUGAGGCAGCAGUGGGGAAUAUUGCAGAAUGGGCGCAAGCCUGAUGCAGCCAUGCCGCGUGUAUGAAGAAGGCCUUAGGGUUGUAAAGUACUUUCAGCGGGGAGGCGUUACCCGCAGAAGAAGCACCGGCUAACGCCGUGCCAGCAGCCGCGGUAAUUC
rnacentral:rRNA from 1 species